CCCGUUUGGCGUAAUUUCUUGGCCCCAUGAAUCAAUCGCCACCAGCAGCCCAUUAUUCACUGGCGGUGUAGCCAGCAGGUACAUCCAGGUAGGUCCCUUUUCUUCUCUCUCUCUCUCUCUUCCUCGGCAUGUCCUUCCUGAAACUGUUGUUGCUGCCCCAUUGGCUACUACCUGUGAUUACCAUGUACCCACUUACGGAGGCUAUUCACCGCCGGCGGGAAAAUUCAACCGGAAGUUGCCUGUGACGCUGCAGUUUCGUGGAGGUAGGUUUGUGCGCGGGAGCAAUGAGUCGGUGGGUAACGAUGCGUUUUACAGAAGGAAUGCCAAGUUGUGCGAUGUAAUUGUUGUUGCUGUUGAUAAUAGAUUGGCACGGAGAGUAGAUACCCGUGUGAGGAUGGGCUCUAGGUUUUGAAUUGGUCGCCAUGCAGGCGAAUUUGGCUUCUUGUAGGAGAUUGGGUCUUCAAUGCUGUAUUUUUUAUAGCUUUGGUGCUUCUAUGCUUGAGCCUUGGCUGGCUACUUAUGGAGAUCCUUCCAGGUGUGUAUUACUUUGGGUUUGCGCUGGUGCAAAGAAAGUGGAUUAUGUGGCAAGAAAGGCUAUAAAGGCAGGCAAGCUAUUGGAUCCUAUAAGGUUGUGGCACCGGUUCUGAUUUACCUCUUCUUCAUUGGAAGCACCCACGCAUUUCAGAAGUUAAGCUGGCAAACUCAUACUUCUAUGACAAGGGUAUGUGCAAGCUGGCAUGGAAACUAUUCCUACCUGAAGAAGAAUUCAACCUAGAUCAUCCAGCUGCCAACCAUCUCCUCCGAGGGAACGAGCCACCUCUUGAGUACUUGCCACCAUCAUUAGUGGUUGCGGUAGAACAUGACUUUAGAGAGACUGGGCCAUUGCUCGCUAAGAAGAACUGCAGAAAGUUAAUGUGGAUGCACCUUUUCUUGUUUAUAAGGAUGCUGUGCAUGAGCUUGCUACCCUUGACAUGCUUCUCCGGACACCAUAUGGGUCAAGAAGAACAUAUCUCUCAGAGGUCAUGAGUUUUCUUACUGAAUGAAUCAGAAAAGAAGUAACAGAUUACAAUAGGAAGAGAGAUGUUUAAUUGGUGUAUAAGCAGUGUUACCUCUUCAUCAUUUAUGCUGUUGGAGAGGAGCAGGAUUCUUGUACAUAAUGCUGAGGGUUAUAGCUUCCAGCCAAUUUUCCAUGAGUUUCCAUUCAGGUGAGGAUUUGUUCCCUUUCUUGUAAAGCACAUAGUUUUUGUCAGAAAUUAGGAUUUUCCGGAAUUUAUAGAUGGAUGUUCCCUCAAAUAUAUUAGAAACAUUACUUUGUUCAGCUCUUCAUUUCAUUGUUUAGAGGUAUUGGAAAUUACAUAUAGAAAUAAAACAAAAGUUAUUCCAUCUCAAUUCCUUCCAUCUGAUCAUUCAAAGUAAUUAAGCAACUUUUAUGUGAACCCGCUUCUUUCUGGCUUGUGAGAACGCAUACGUUACCUUGCUGGUGCCAAGCUUGCGUCUAUGCUAUCUUGCCGACAGCAAUGUUGUUUAAUAUAUUAAAGAAAGGGAAUAAGAUAGUAUAUCCUGCAUGGAUUUCCCAAGAACAAUGCAUAUGCAAUUGUAAAUAGAUUCUACUGUGAAUAUGCUAAUACUGCAGAAUGAUAGCACCUGAAUUGGCCGGCUAAAUAGUGCAUGCUCAUUAUCUGUGUAUUUAAUUUAUAUUUGUAUCACCUAGAUAAAAAGGAAGCCAUAAUAGUUAUCUGUUUAUAAGAUAUUGUUGCAGUAACUAAUGUUGAGAACAUCAUAAAAGUGAAUAUGUUGAUUAGAAGCAAUAAAAUAUUAUUUUUAGGGUGGAUUUUAUAUGUUCUGAUCAUAAUAAUUUUUUAAUGGCUAAAAAAUACUUUCAAAUUAUUUUUUACAACAACAUAAUAUAUUGUGCUUUAAAAGAAGGUUUCAACUAUAAUAUCACAUAAAAGUAUGUCCCUUUCAUUGCUCACCUCAACACAGAACGUAGUAAACAAAAACCAGAUAGAUGCAGAUAAAAUUGAAAGCCUAUUAGUUUGCUCUUGCUUGUCUUUCUUCUUUUUUAAUUUGUGCAUUGCCAAUGGGUUUUCCCUUGAGUCAGUCGCCUGGGAAGGUAGCAGAAGCAAACAAAACCAUAAUAAAAGCAAAAGUCACUAAAAAAAAACAUGAGAAUAGCGUAAAUGAGCUGGAUAGAAUGGAAAGCCAAAAGGGACAGGUUAUUGAACUCCUUAACUCUAGGGAUUCCACGCCUAUGUAAAAGAAAGAAUGUGCCUUGAUUGCUCCAUGCUUGCUUUGCUUUGUGCCUGCUGGAACCAAGACAAUAUUCUAUGCUUAAUUCUAUUUUUCAUGAGUAAUUUUCAGUGUAGGAGAAUUAAAUAUUGUGGCUUUGCAAUCAUCACUCUCCAACAAGGGAACUCGUUCAAAUUAUAAAUAUCCCUUGCUAGAAACUGGGUCUUUCGGGAUUCAGUAAUUGCAUGAGUGUUUGAUACACUAAAAGAAGAGAUCAUGUAUCCUCCUUCCUAUACACAAUCUGAAUUCUGCUGUGAUGAUAAAAGUUAUGAGACAACUGGUUUAGAUCUCAAUCUCGGCCACAUCAUGCCGGAUUUUUCUGUAUUGGAGGAUGAUUGUACUGCUCGGUUUGAUUUUGAUGAAACACGAAGCCACAAGAGGGUGAAGCAGGCACCAAGUGCCACUGUAUCCAAUGGAAAUGGUGCUGGACUUUAUUGUACUGGCAGUAAUGGUAGGACUAGUACGAACAGCUUGAAUAUUGUGCCUAGACUCCACUUCAGGGAUUAUGUAUUGACUUACACAGAAAGGUAUUUAGCAAUUGAGGCUAUGGAAGAAGCAGCAGCAGCCUUGAUGGACGACGAGAGAAAUGAAGUCAUUGAAGAAGAAGGUGGUGAUGGGAUGAAACUAUUACAGCAACUCAUUGCCUGUGCUGAAGCUGUGGCUUGCCGUGACAAGACACAUGCUUCUGCAUUACUAUCAGAGCUGGGAGCUAAUGCCCUUGUCUUUGGAACAUCAUUUCAAAGAGUUGCUUCCUGCUUUGUCCAGGGCCUCUCUGAUCGGCUUGCGCUGGUUCAACCACUAGGGGCAGUGGGAGUUCUAGGCUCUCCAGCAAAAAUGGUCACUACUUUUACAGCAGAGAAGGAUGAGGCCUUGCGGCUUGUCUACGAGAUUUGUCCACAAAUCCAAUUUGGUCAUUUUGUAGCAAAUUCAUCAAUAUUAGAAGCCUUUGAGGGCAAGCGUUCUGUUCAUGUUGUGGACUUGGGGAUGACCCUUGGCCUGCCCAAUGGCCAACAGUGGCGCAAUCUAAUACACAGCAUAGCCAACCGCACUGGCCAACCGCCUCACCGCCUUCGAAUAACAGGUGUAGGAAACUCUGCUGAGCGCCUUCGAGUAAUAGGGGAUGAGCUAGAGUCCUAUGCACGAAGCUUGGGAUUGAAAUUUGAAUUUUUGUGGGUUGAAAGCAGCCUGGAAAACCUGAAACCAACAGACUUCAAACUCCUUGAUGGUGAAGUUGUAAUCAUCAAUAGCAUUCUUCAGUUGCAUUGUGUAGUGAAAGAGAGCCGAGGAGCACUAAACUCAGUUCUGCAGAUGCUACUUGAGCUAUCACCAAAGCUUCUCAUUUUAGUAGAGCAGGAUUCAAGCCAUAAUGGACCAUUCUUUCUAGGGAGGUUCAUGGAAGCAUUACAUUACUAUUCAGCUAUUUUUGACUCACUAGAUGCAAUGCUACCCAAGUACGACACGAGGCGAGCGAAGAUAGAGCAGUUCUUUUUCGCCGAGGAAAUCAAGAACAUCAUCAGCUGUGAAGGACCAGCAAGAGUGGAGAGGCACGAAAGGGUGGACCAAUGGCGCAGGAGGAUGAGCAGGGCUGGAUUUCAGCCUUCACAUACGAAGAUGACAAUGCUGGCAAAGCAGUGGCUAGGAAAGGCCAAGUUUUGUGAGGGUUAUGCAGUUACAGAAGAGAAAGGAUGCUUGGUUCUUGGGUGGAAAUCAAAGCCUAUAAUUGCAGCUUCUUGCUGGAAGUGCUCCUGAUUUUUUAAUUUUUUAAUUUUUAUAAAUUUCAUAAAUUACACAUUAUGUUUUAUAAAAAUCAUAAAAAACAUAAAAAGUUAUAAAUUGAAAAAUCAGUUGGUUCAAUUUUUUUUUUAUUUUUUAUGAAAAUA
rnacentral:misc_RNA from 1 species